GCCUCGGUAGCUCAGUUGGUAAGAGCGAUCGCCUUGUAAGCGAUAGGUCGUGGGUUCGAAUCCCUCCCGGGGCU
rnacentral:tRNA from 1 species